AGAGAUCCAGGGAAGUGGCCUGGGAGGUAGGUCCCCAACUCUUCCUUCCCCCCGUCUUCACAGCCAUUUUCCAGGGAUGCCCAUUCCUGCUGGGGUAGCCAGCUGUGACCAGGUCAGUGUGGAAAGUGAGCCCUGGGAGACCUGAGGCCUGAGGCCCUGGGCUUCCGCUUGACCUGGCUGGGUCAGCCGUGGGAGGCAGAGCCUGGCUCUGUUUAUCCAGGCCGGACACUUCCGGAGCAGAUGGGCGCCUGUCAGAGCCACCAGCCAGGAACUGGGCUGACGUCCUCUCAUUGCCAAGUGGCAGGUGACUCGAGGGCCUGGAGGGAACAUGGGUUUGGUUUGCCUGUUUAUUAGGGAACUCUCUCUCUGAGCUGGGAGCUGCCUGCACAGCUGAGUGAGCACAGGGCAGACUCUUUGACCCAAAGGGACCUGGCCCUUUCAGGCGCUGAGUGCUGGGGACUCUGUGGGGGCUCCAGGGUCUCCCCAGAAGCCAUGGCUGAGCUCUGCUUUUUGCCACCCCUACCUUGGUGUAUGCAUUUCCUGGGGUUCCUGUGACAAAGUACCACUAACCAAAUGAGAAAAUGGAGGUACCAAAAAGUGGGCUCUGAACUGCAGAGCCUGGCUCCAGAGCCCUUGUAUUUGACUACUGGGAUCCACCGUUAUUCUCACAGCCGCGUUUCCCACAGGGCUGCUUUGUAUGGCCUCUUAGAAAAGUCCUGCCUGUCUCCACCAUCCAGACUAUGAUGUCCGUGAGGUCAGAGGAAAGGGAGAAUGUCUCACAUACAGAAAAUGCUUGAUCAACAUUGAUGGAAUCAUAAAUGGGCCUCAGCGGCACCUGUCCUGAGUCAGCAUCUCACAGAGGUUUUGCCAGCGCCAGCCACAUCUCCAGCAUGAAGGUGAUUGUCUGAGUGUGUCCAGUCCAGUUCCUGCCUUAAUAAAAAUCACUGCUGCAAGGGAGAGGGCUGCCAAGGCCCUGCCUCCCUCCAACCCCAUCCUAGCCUGAGUCUUAACCAUUCUUCCAAUCCAGUUCCACUUUGGGCCAGUGCUUAACCCAGGGUAGCACUUUUGAGCCUCGCAACUCUUGGGAGUGAGUUUUCAUCCUAACGUUCUCAGAUGAGGAAAUUGGGCCUCAAAGAGUCCACACAGGUGAGGCACCAUGGCUCAUGCCUAUAAUCCUAACACUUUGGGAGGCCAAGGCAGGAGGAAUGCUUGAGCCCAGGAGUUCAAGACCAGCCUGGGCAACAUGGUGACACCCUGUCUCUAUAAAAAAAUACAACAAUUAGGCAAACGUGGUGGCAUGCACCUGUCAUCCCAGCUACCUGGGAGGCUGAGGUGGGAGGAUUGCUUGAGCCCAGGAGGCUGAGGCUGCAGUGAGCCAUGAUCCUGCCAGUACACUCCAGCCUGGGUGACAGAACAAGACCCUGUCUCAAAAACAAAACAAAACAAAAACAAAAACAAAGCAUCCACACAACUAGCAGGUGAAAAACUGGGGUUCAAACUCAGGCCUAUAACACUAAGGGCUGGGCCUGUCCCCACCAAAUCAGUCUUUCCUCAGACAGGCUGAGGUGUCCUCUAUAGACCAAAUAUCUGGAGGUCAGAACACUGAGACACUAGUUAUGUAAAGGCAGGGUGUGAGUUGGUGAGCUCAUCGAGAAAAUGCUUCCUGGGCUGGGUGCAGUGGCUCACACCUGUAAUCCCAGCACUUUGGGAGGCUGAGGUGGACAGAUCACCUCAAGUCAGGAGUUCAAGACCAGCCUGGCCAACAUGCUGAAACUCUGUCUCUACUAAAAAAUACAAAAAUUUGCCAAGCGCAGUGGCACAUGCCUGUAAUACUAGCUCCUCGGGAGGCUGAGGCAGGAGAACCGCUUGAACCCAGGAGGCAGAGGUUGCAGUGAGCCAAGAUUGCACCACUGAACUCUAGCCUGGGUGACAGAGCAAAACUCUGUCUCAAAAAAAAAAAAAGAAAAGAGAAAAAAGAAAGAGAGAGAAAGAAAGAGAGAGAGAAAGAGAAAGAAA
rnacentral:lncRNA from 1 species